UUCUCUUGUCCUAGCAUAGCAAAACCCCUAAACCCCCUCUCUCAAAAGCUUUUUUUGGGUUGAUAUGUCAGAUUCUGUUCGAUCUUGAAAAAAGAGGACACAAACAAUGCCUCGAGUGUCGAAGAGAAAAUCAAAACCCCUCAAAUCAUCUAAAGUCGAUGGUGUUCGUUCUGCUUCAAACAAAGCUACAAUGAAGAAGGGGGAACCUAUAGAUGAUCAUUUCCAUUCAUAUGCAAACAGUCCGGAAGGAAUAGAGGCACUUUGUUCAAUUUGGGAGUGGAUCAUACUGAUGUCACAAUAUUGAUGCUCGCUUGGAAAAUGAAUGCUCAGAAGCAGGGAUAUUUUACACAGGUAAGUACAUUAAUUAUUACAACCAUUGCCCUUACUAUUAUUAUUGUUAUUGUUGUUGUUAGUAGGAAAAAUACUACACAAACUAACAAAUCUUACUAACUAAUGUGUCAUGCAAUAAUUUGGAAUCUGAAAUAGGACCCACUUAAAUAAAUAAUAUGGUAGGUGUCACAUCAGUGAGUGAGAAAUUUAUAAGAUUUGUUAGUUUGUAUAGCAUUACUCUUAUUAUUAUCGUCAUUUUAACAUUUUAAAAAAAAUAUAUAUUUUAACACUACUAUUCUGUUGGUAUAAGAUAAAUUGUUUGGAUGGUAUCUAAUUUUAUCUGCUUUCUUGGAUUUUUAUAAUUUUUGUCCUUUGUCAAAGUAGACUAUUUGGAAAAUUGGAGAAUAUUACAAUAUAGGACCAUGAAAAAUACUAAAAUACCUAUUUGAACUGUAUAUGAAAAUAUGUACAAAGAAAAUAGUAGAGCCUUGCGGUAAUAGAUGAGUAUAUGUAUGUUCAGUUUCAUGCAUAUACGUCAGCACAACUAAAAGCUAGCAAAAAAGCCAAACAAACAAAAGCUAAAUCCAAAAGCCCAUAAAAAAGUUUUCCUAUUGUAGAACAAGCCGUCUUCUUUUUGUUCAUAUGCAUUAUGGGUAGUCAAGGUAACAGCUACUGUUAUUCUCCUCUCUGCAUCCAUAAUACUAUGUUUGGAUCUUGGAUUUUUGGGGGUAAUGGUGUUGGUGUAUACGAGUUGGCAAUUUCCAUGGGCAAAUUUUGAGCUUGGUUGUAAUGGAUUGAUAGGUUAGAUUGAGCAUUCAAAUGUGUUGCGGUUUGCAGAUUGACAUAAGCUAUGCAGAGAUGACUACAUACUUGUAAUAGAUAUAUACUACAUGAGCCAUUAGUUUUAAUUUCACAAAAUUGACCUAUUUGACUCAUUCCCAGUCCCGGUAGGUUUUGGAGUCAAAAAUUUGCAAAAAAUAAGACCAAGGGGUAAAACCCGAGGGCCUUGCUUGAAGCGGCUUGUACUCGAGCUGUCUUCACAACGGUUUAUGUUAUAUGACUUCCAGCACGGGACCCCAAUCCACGAUGGUCAACUUAGUAUGGAUAUUUCAAAAUGUGGAACUUGAUCUGCAUUGAAUUUUAUUCUUGAUGUCAUACCUUUUUUUCUCUGUUCUAGAUAUUUAUUUGUUGAUAACUGCCUACUUAUGAAGUGUUUAAUAGUGCUAUUACUGAUCGUGUACUGUUUUCUGAAAAGGUUAGGAUGCCUCAAAAUUUUGCAGAUUUCUAUUCUUUUGCAUUUCAAUACUGCCUAACGUGUUUAAGUGAAUGGAAGUGCACCGCAUUGUUUCAUGACAUUAUCUUGUUUCAGUUUUGAGUUUGAUUUAAAUUUUUAUCAUUUAUUUAUUUUUAAUUUUGCUGGCCAUUUUUUCCCUCUUUCAGAAGAUAAGCAAAAACGGAUAGAUGUUGAAUGCAUUUGUGAAUUGCUAGAUAUUGUUAUGGGGUCCCAAUUUCCGUCCCAGGUUACCUUAUUCACCAAGUAUUUAAAGGUGGGCAGCACUUAUUUCUUUCUACCCUCAUGAUUCUUAGGUGUUUACAAAACAAGUAUUGAAUUUUUUUUUUUUUGGUCUAUGAGAUUAUUCAUUUUGUAUUUAUCUCACUAUCCCUGUUUGAUUAAUUGAAAAUGGCACAUUCCCACCAUCUCUGUAGUUUUGUUGAAUUAAUAAUAUAUUAAAGACUUUGUUGCAUAUGUAAUUCGACGAGUUUGAAUUACUUGUGAUGUUAUUAUUGCAAAUUUAUGAUAUUAUACAUAUUAGAGUACAUAUGUGGAAAUUUAUUAUUGAUGAGUUUUGUAAAACUAAAAAUAUGAAGUAAUGACAUUGACAAUAACUACCCGAAUAACACUAUACAAUGGAUUUCUUACCACUAGACAUGAAGGUAGUGGGGCCCCUAUUAAUAAAUACAUGUAGGCCCCAUUGCCUUGGUGUCUAGUAAGAAAAUUGGUAAGCAAUCCAUUUAUGAAUAGCAUUACUCUUUAGAGAAAUGCAUCUUGAUCUUGGGGAUCAUGAUCAACAUCUUAAUUAUAAUGGUAUCCAAUGAUUUGAUUUGUGAUGCUUGGACUUGA